rnacentral:rRNA from 1 species
AAAGCUCAAAUUUAAAAUCUGGCAGCAAUCCUGCUGUCCGAGUUGUAAAUUAGAGAAGUGCUAUCCGCGCUGGCCUGUGCAAAAGUCUCUUGGAAAAGAGCAUCAUAGAGGGUGACAAUCCCGUCUUUGGCACAGAUCCCAGGGCUUUUGUGAUGCGCUCUCAAUGAGUCGAGUUGUUUGGGCAUGCAGCUCCAAAUGGGUGGUAAAUUCCAUCUAAAGCUAAAUAUUGGCGAGAGACCGAUAGCGAA